GCUACGGGUGGUGGCACACACCUGUAAUCCCAGCUAUUUGGGAGGCUGAGGUGAGAGGAUCGCUUGAGCCCAGGAAUUCUGGGCUGUAGUGUAUGUACUGUGCUGAUCAGGUGUCCACUCUCAAGUUUUGCAUCCAUAUGGUGACCUCCAGGGAGUGGGGGGUCACCAGGUUGCCUAAGGAGAGAUGAACUGACCCAGGUCAGAAACAGAGCAGGUCCAAACUCCCAUGCUGAUUAGUAGUGGGAUCAAUGCCUGUGAAUGGCCACUACACUAUAGCCUAGGUGGCAUAGCAAGACCCUAUCUCU
rnacentral:SRP_RNA from 1 species